rnacentral:rRNA from 1 species
UGGGGAAUAUUGCACAAUGGGCGCAAGCCUGAUGCAGCCAUGCCGCGUGUGUGAAGAAGGCCUUCGGGUUGUAAAGCACUUUCAGCGAGGAGGAAGGGUAGUGUGUUAAUAGCACAUUGCAUUGACGUUACUCGCAGAAGAAGCACCGGCUAACUCCGUGCCAGCAGCCGCGGUAAUACGGAGGGUGCAAGCGUUAAUCGGAAUUACUGGGCGUAAAGCGCACGCAGGCGGUUUGUUAAGUCAGAUGUGAAAUCCCCGCGCUUAACGUGGGAACUGCAUUUGAAACUGGCAAGCUAGAGUCUUGUAGAGGGGGGUAGAAUUCCAGGUGUAGCGGUGAAAUGCGUAGAGAUCUGGAGGAAUACCGGUGGCGAAGGCGGCCCCCUGGACAAAGACUGACGCUCAGGUGCGAAAGCGUUGGGAGCAAACA